UUAAUACUCCCUCCGUCCCAAAAUUCUUUUCUUAGAUUUGUCUAAAUACGGAUGUAUCUAGUUACGUUUUAGUGUUAGAUACAUCCGUAUCUAGAUGAAUCUAAGACAGGAAUUUUGGGACGGAGGGAGUAUGUG
rfam:Triticum aestivum genome assembly, contig: Triticum_aestivum_CS42_TGACv1_scaffold_342853_4DL